rnacentral:lncRNA from 1 species
ACCGGCGUUUGAUCACGUUCCGUCGCCGUACUCCGGUCCCUCUGGCAGCGAUAUCAUUGCCAAGCGUAGAGAGUAUCUUAGCCCUUCAAUCUUCCAUUCCUACAAAACGCCGGUGAGAUUCCACCGCACCGGAUAAUUCCUCAUUAAUAAUUAUAACCGUCUACAAUUAACUGCACUUUGAUUGUGUUAUUAUUUCCGUUAAAAACUUAAAAUACAACGGUAAAUCAAAUUAAUGACAUGUGAAAUGAGAAAUAAAUAAUGAUUAACUGGUUUUUAAUGGAAUUUGAUUGCGUGUGGGAGGUUACAGUUGAACGUGGUGGAAGGGAAGAGACAGUACCUUUUCGAUGAAAACGGGAGGAGGUACCUUGAUGCGUUUGGAGGGAUUGCUACGGUGUGCUGCGGGCACUGCCACCCUGAUGUAGUCGCAGCAAUCGUGGAACAAACCAAAAAGUUACAGCACUCAACGAUUUUGUAUCUCAACCAUGCCAUUACUGAUUUUGCCGAAG